rnacentral:tRNA from 1 species
AAGGCCUGUAGAUCUGUCCAAUACAUCUUCUGAUUGCAACUCAGAUGCUUUAAUUAAGCUAAAACCUCC